CACGUAGGGGGCGAGCGUUGUCCGGAUUUAUUGGGCGUAAAGAGCUCGUAGGCGGCUUGGUAAGUCAGGUGUGAAACCUCCAGGCUCAACCUGGAGACGCCACUUGAUACUGCCAUAGCUAGAGUCCGGUAGGGGAGCGUGGAAUUCCCAGUGUAGCGGUGAAAUGCGCAGAUAUCAGGAAGAACACCCGUGGCGAAGGCGGUUCUCUGGGACGGUACUGACGCUGAGACGCGAAAGCGUGGGGAGCGAACAGG
rnacentral:rRNA from 1 species